rfam:Parcubacteria bacterium GW2011_GWA2_47_10 TX72_C0051, whole genome shotgun sequence.
GAAAGCGGAUUGAGACAGUGUCUGGCGGGCAGUUUGUUUGGGGCGAAACCCUUAAGAAGACUGGUCAUUAAGCCGAUCAGUUGUGGGGGCUCCGCGUAAUGCGGAGAAAACAUUCAGCUAUAUGCUGGAACAUCCGGAUGUAUAUGUUGGUACCCGUCGAAGGGUAAAAAACCAACUUUGAAUAUUUCGCGCUUCUGCGGUAACGCAGUAUGUACGAAAUGUGCCGGACAAUCAGCAGGCAACCGAGCGCCUAUGGGUGCUUGGGAGCCCUCAACGACUAUACGCUGAAACCGCUGUAUGGCAGCGGCAUGAUAUAGUCUGAUCUUUCGGGCGACCGAAAG